rnacentral:rRNA from 1 species
UACGAGGGGUCCUAGCGUUGUUCGGAAUCAUUGGGCGUAAAGGGUGUGUAGGUGGCUAUGUAAGUCAGGUGUGAAAGCCCCGGGCUCAACCCGGGAAGUGCAUCUGAUACUGCGUAGCUUGAGUACCGAAGAGGAUAGUGGAAUUCCAGGUGUAGUGGUGAAAUACGUAGAUAUCUGGAGGAACACCGGUGGCGAAGGCGGCUAUCUGGUCGAGUACUGACACUGAGACACGAAAGCGUGGGGAGCAAACAGG